rnacentral:rRNA from 1 species
UAGGGAAUCUUCGGCAAUGGACGAAAGUCUGACCGAGCAACGCCGCGUGAGUGAAGAAGGUUUUCGGAUCGUAAAACUCUGUUGUUAGAGAAGAACAAGGACGUUAGUAACUGAACGUCCCCUGACGGUAUCUAACCAGAAAGCCACGGCUAACUACGUGCCAGCAGCCGCGGUAAUACGUAGGUGGCAAGCGUUGUCCGGAUUUAUUGGGCGUAAAGCGAGCGCAGGCGGUUUCUUAAGUCUGAUGUGAAAGCCCCCGGCUAAACCGGGGAGGGUCAUUGGAAACUAGGAGACUUGAGUGCAGAAGAGGAGAGUGGAAUUCCAUGUGUAGCGGUGAAAUGCGUAGAUAUAUGGAGGAACACCAGUGGCGAAGGCGGCUCUCUGGUCUGUAACUGACGCUGAGGCUCGAAAGCGUGGGGAGCAAACAGG